CGGCUGAUCUCUGAAGUUGCCAGCAAAAAUUCCAGAGGCUAAAAAAGGGGAGGGUUUAUGUAAGAAACAGAAUACUCAAGAAACACCAGAACGGAUAUCACCCUUGGGGAGCCCAGAAAAACAUCACAGAAAGGAGAGAGUGGCUUAAGUAAAAUUCCAGUUCCUUUCUUCCUUGAGAAAUUAGGAGAUGCAAGGCUGAGACCCCUUGCAGCUGACUACUUGGAGGAGUGCCGACAGCCUUUGCUGUUUCGUGGCAAAUGGCUAAAAGGAGCCUACACGGAGUGGGGAUUCCAGACCAGCCUCAAACAAGGCUGCUAGCUGAGUCUGAUGGGAAGCUGCUGGAAACUUCUGAAAACCCCAGUAAGAGGCGAGUCUCAUUGAAGAUUUUCAAUGGCCUUUCGGAAUUACGGGACUUACCCAGCUCUGCCAGGUUUAUUAAUCCAGCCUAUAAGCUUCUCUAGACCUAGGACUAUGGUGCCUGCACAGAAGAUGUGCUCAACAUAUAACUGAUUAAAUAACUUAAUGAGUAAAUGAAGGACUGGACUCGUUUGUGGGCCAUAUUUGGAGGUGACUUUGUAAACUCUAACAGCAUGGGAUUUUAAUAAGCUGUCUUCAUAGCUUGGACCAUGAUGUGGAGAGAGGAUUGCUUGAGACUCUUCCCAGCUCUUGAGAUUCCAUGUAGGUUGUGAACACUGAGGAGUGUGUGGAGCUUAUGUCUGAACUUCACCUCUCUAAUGUGACCAUCCCUGAAAUGAAAAGAAAACCAGUGCUAAAUGGAAAUACCUUCUUUCUUUCCCUCCCACAGCUCGUGCAUAUCUCUUCUACACUCAAUCAGCAUCUCUAGAGGAGGUGCCAGCUCUCUCAACAAGUAAUUCCUUUUGGCCCCAUCACAGAAGGGAAGUACAAUCAACAGCAAUGAAGCUUCUUUAUUCCUUGCUAAUUUAGUGCCACGACACAUGAUAUGCACAGCUUUGUGAGUGGGAGGGUUUCAAAGCAGGAAGCUUUGGAUCUGACUUAGGGAGGCUGGUUAUCCACUUACGAUACUUGACUUAGCAGAAGCCAGUCUUUGUGAAAGCUGUUAUGGGGCCCCCUGCUGGCAUUGUGACAUGGAGACACUUCAUCUUCAGUGAACCUACAGUUCCCUCUGGGAAGCUUCAAGUUCAACAGGGCUGUGGACUUGCAGAGAUUCUUGCUGUAGGCUAGGAAAGUAGAUUGUAGUACUAGUACUACUGCUAGUACUACGUUUUCUACUAUCUUUGGGUUUCUUGGGCCACUUUGAAACUCUAACCACAGUGUUUUCAAACUUGCAAUGGUAAAAUGCAUUGUAAAUAAAAAUUUUAACUU
rnacentral:lncRNA from 10 species